rnacentral:rRNA from 1 species
AACGAACGCUGGCGGCAUGCCUAACACAUGCAAGUCGAACGAGACCUUCGGGUCUAGUGGCGCACGGGUGCGUAACGCGUGGGAACCUGCCCUUAGGUUCGGAAUAACUCCCCGAAAGGGGUGCUAAUACCGGAUAAUGUCUUCGGACCAAAGAUUUAUCGCCUUUGGAUGGGCCCGCGUUGGAUUAGCUAGUUGGUAGGGUAAAAGCCUACCAAGGCGACGAUCCAUAGCUGGUCUGAGAGGAUGAUCAGCCACACUGGGACUGAGACACGGCCCAGACUCCUACGGGAGGCAGCAGUGGGGAGUAUUGGACAAUGGGCGAAAGCCUGAUACAGCAAUGCCGCGUGAGUGAUGAAGGCCUUAGGGUUGUAAAGCUCUUUUACCCGGGAUGAUAAUGACAGUACCGGGAGAAUAAGCUCCGGCUAACUCCGUG